UACGUAGGGACCAAGCGUUGUCCGGAAUUAUUGGGCGUAAAGGGCGCGUAGGCGGCUUUGCGUGUCUUUCGUGAAAUCCCUCGGCUCAACUGAGGACGUGCGGAAGAAACUGCAGGGCUGGAGUCCGGGAGAGGAGGGUGGAAUUCCCAGUGUAGCGGUGAAAUGCGUAGAUAUUGGGAGGAACACCGGUGGCGAAGGCGGCCCUCUGGACCGGUACUGACGCUGAUGCGCGAAAGGCGUGGGGAGCAAACGGG
rnacentral:rRNA from 1 species